rnacentral:lncRNA from 1 species
GCUCCGCCAUGGUGAGAAGCGCCUGCUUUCCCUUCACCUUCCGCCACGAUUGUGUUUCCCGAGACCUCCCAGCCGUGCUUCCUGUACAGCCUGCAGAACUAAAAGAUCGAUAACUUGGAAACGGGGAUGGGGAGUUGGUGCCAGCUUUCCUGCUACAUGAAAAUUCAAUCCCAACUGCUACCCAGACCCGCUCUGUCUGCACUACAGCAGUGGGGACUGAGGGCAUGCCUGCCAUGCCAAUCCCGCAGAGGACUUUGCUGCAGGGAGACAGCCCCUUUCUCCCUCCAUGACAGGGUUUAGAAGCCUCCUCCUCUUGCUGCCACCGUGGGAAUUUAGGUGAGCAGCUGUAGUUGCCGGGGAGUCCUGAGCACAACACUUAACGCUGCUCCUGCAGUUUCAUGGGCCAUUAACAAUUUGCUAAUAUUGUUUUAGCUUGCAAAUUAUUGCAGCUCCGUGGGUAAGGAAAGGCUCUGUGGCCGUCAUCAAUCAGAUGGAAAUUCUCCAUGCAUGAGAUGAAAAACGAUUUCUAGCCUUUGAGGCUCAGACGGCAAUUACUGUAACCAAAAAAAAUGGGUGAUGGGGAGCCGGGGGGAAGAGAGCUCCUUGCAAAGUCUGUUAGCAAUUCUAUGAACUUUGUUUCUUGAUGCACGAGAGGAAACUAUGAGGAUUUCCAGCCAAGGGAACUUGAUUUUCUUAGUUACUAAUAAAGUGGCAAUCUAAAGGAGCCCUCUCCAACUGUCCUGCUCCCAGAAGGCGGGGAGAGAGGAUGUCCGUGUGGCAAGAAGGAUGACAAAGCUGUGAGGACCUGGUGACUGUCUUUGCUGAGCUCCCAACUGGUGACACUCACCAGGAGGAUGCCACAGAUGGCUCUGCCAAAAGUGCAGACAAACCUUGGCCUUGUUUGUUGGAAACCAUGUUGCUUAUCCCCCAUCCCUCCCACCUUUAAGCACCAACAUUUUUUCCUUUUAAAUAUUGAUACGAGACUGGGCUGGGCAUGGUGGCUCAUGCCUGUAGUUCUAAUGCUUUGGAAAUCUGAGGCAGGAGAAUCACUUGAUCUCCAGUUCUAGACCAGCCUGGGCUAGUGAGAACCCCAUCUCUACAAAAACAUUUCAAAAAUUAGCUGGGUGUGAUAGUAUGCACUGUGGUCCCAGCUGCUUGGGAGGCUGAGGCAGGAGGAUCACUUGAGCCCAGGAGGUCAAGGCUGCUGUGAGCCAUGAACGCCCCUCUGCACUCCAGCCUGGGCAACAGAGUGAGACCCUGUCUCUUAAAAUAAAAGUGAGACUGUUAUGAAA